rnacentral:rRNA from 1 species
ACGGGUGAGUAAUACAUCGGAACGUGCCCAAGAGUGGGGGAUAACGGAGCGAAAGCUUUGCUAAUACCGCAUACGAUCUACGGAUGAAAGCAGGGGACCGCAAGGCCUUGCGCUCAUGGAGCGGCCGAUGGCAGAUUAGGUAGUUGGUGGGAUAAAAGCUUACCAAGCCGACGAUCUGUAGCUGGUCUGAGAGGACGACCAGCCACACUGGGACUGAGACACGGCCCAGACUCCUACGGGAGGCAGCAGUGGGGAAUUUUGGACAAUGGGCGCAAGCCUGAUCCAGCCAUGCCGCGUGCAGGAUGAAGGCCUUCGGGUUGUAAACUGCUUUUGUACGGAACGAAAAGCCUCUUUCUAAUAAAGAGGGGUCAUGACGGUACCGUAAGAAUAAGCACCGGCUAACUACGUGCCAGCAGCCGCGGUAAUACGUAGGGUGCGAGCGUUAAUCGGAAUUACUGGGCGUAAAGCGUGCGCAGGCGGUAAUGUAAGACAGAUGUGAAAUCCCCGGGCUCAACCUGGGAACUGCAUUUGUGACUGCAUUGCUGGAGUGCGGCAGAGGGGGAUGGAAUUCCGCGUGUAGCAG